CCGGUCGUCUCUCUUUCUUUCGGGUCUGCCCACUUCGACUUCGAGUGGUCAUAAACCCCCGCCUCCCUUGUGUCAUCCCCAUCCGCCUCGACCUCGCGGCCGCAACAGCGAAACCCUAGCCUCGACCUCUAUCUCCUCCGGCCACAGCUGUUCAGGUCAGCGGUGAAGGAUGAGCAGGCGCUGGAGCCGCACGAUCUACGUCGGCAACCUCCCCGGCGACAUCCGGGAGAGGGAGGUGGAGGAUCUGUUCUACAAGUAUGGUAGAAUUGUUGACAUUGACCUGAAGGUCCCCCCAAGGCCACCUGGUUAUGCUUUUGUUGAGUUUGAAGAUGCUCGUGAUGCUGAGGAUGCAAUUGCUGGGCGGGAUGGAUACAACUUUGAUGGACACCGUCUAAGAGUGGAGGCUGCUCAUGGUGGUAGAGGUAAUACUUCCUCGUAUGAUCGUUCAAGUGGCUUUGGUGGUGGCGGUGGUGGAGCACGUCGUGGUGUGUCGAGACACUCAGAGUAUCGUGUUCUUGUCACUGGACUGCCUUCUUCUGCAUCAUGGCAGGAUUUAAAGGAUCAUAUGCGGAAGGCUGGUGAUGUCUGUUUCUCUGAAGUGUAUCGCGAAGGCGGUGGCACCGUAGGAAUUGUGGACUACACAAAUUAUGAUGAUAUGAAAUAUGCUAUAAAGAAGCUGGAUGAUACUGAAUUCAGGAACGCCUUUGGGCGAGCCUAUAUAAGGGUGAAGGAAUAUGAUGGCAAACGUGGUCGCUCCUACUCACGUAGCCGAAGCCCAAGCCGUAGCUACAGUAAAAGCAGGAGCCCGAGCAAAUCACCCAAGACUCGCCGUUCAUCAUCUAGAUCCCGGUCGAGGUCUGUUUCUUCCCGUUCAAGGUCUGCAUCAAAAGGACGUUCUCCGUCAAGGCAUGUAUACAAUGAUGAUGGCUUGCUGUACAGUCUGAUUGCUUUGGGGUCCCUUCUCAAGUGCUCGGAGUCUCUAAUGAACGAUAUGAACUGCUUAGUCUGUUCUGUUUUGUUUUUGAAGACUCAAUUAUCUCGCCCUUUUAACUGGGAUUGUGUGGUGAUCUGGGGAUUGCGCAUUAGGAUAUUGAGGAUGGGAUUUUCACAAUUUGCUACAAUUCAGUUGAUUUUAUAAGAGCUUGGGCAUAAGCGCAUUGUUUGGAAUACUGGACAUAGGAGCGUUAAAGAUUGGUGGUCUGGAUUAUGGUGGUACAGUGACUAGGAAUGUACUUGGAGUUCAAUGCUUGGGGAAUGAGUUUUCUUCCUACCUCGGGCACACUUCAGAUGGUUGCUGUAGUUCGUAUAUGCACUGUUGACAUUAUUAUACAACAUUCUUACAGUUGCAUGGAACUGAACACUUCUAUUUUCAUGAGCUUUUAUUGCUUUCGUUCGAAGCGGCGUCAUGGCUUUUGGAACCAAGUUGUUAAAGCUGCAUUUUGGAUAUUGAAUCAGUUGUUUGUGGAACGUUUUGCAGAUCACCAGCAAGAUCCAAAUCUCCUAAUGCUUCUCCGGCAAAUGGUGAAGCAGCAAGCCCCAAGAAGCAGAGCCCAAACAGGAGCCCAUCUGGCUCACGCUCUCCUGAUGCGAAACCUGAAUAAAAUUGCUAUGCUAUUAAAGGAUUGCAGAUGGAGUCCAGAGCUCUUCUUUUCUGGACACUUUUCCUCCAUGUUGUUCUAGCACCAUCUUUGUCUUAGCAACAGUACGAGAUUGGAUGAUAUUAACUAUCAGUAUCAGCUUGUAUCGAUGGAUCCCAACCCCAUUUGCUUUUGCUUAAUUUUUCUAUUGUUAGUGAUUGAUGAAUACAUGCUGUGUGGAUUUGUGCUAUGUUGACUAAAUCAUGUUCUGGACCUCAUACAUGUUUUCUUCGUUUC